AUUGAACGCUGGCGGCAGGCCUAACACAUGCAAGUCGAGCGGAUGAAGGGAGCUUGCUCCUGGAUUCAGCGGCGGACGGGUGAGUAAUGCCUAGGAAUCUGCUUGGUAGUGGGGGAUAACGUCCGGAAACGGGCGCUAAUACCGCAUACGUCCUGAGGGAGAAAGUGGGGGAUCUUCGGACCUCACGCUAUCAGAUGAGUCUAGGUCGGAUUAGCUAGUUGGUGGGGUAAAGGCCUACUAAGGCGACGAUCCGUAACUGGUCUGAGAGGAUGAUCAGUCACACUAGAACUGAGACACGGUCCAGAGUCCUACGGGAGGCAGCAGUGGGGAAUGUUGGACAAUAGGCGAAAGCCUGAUCCAGCCGUGCCGCGUGUGUGAAGAAGGUCUUCGGAUUGUAAAGCACUUUAAGUUGGGAGGAAGGGCAGUAAGUUAAUACCUUGCUGUUUUGACGUUACCAACAGAAUAAGCACCGGCUAACUUCGUG
rnacentral:rRNA from 1 species